GGACGCAACUCUGGAGAGCGCGUAUAUAGUAUGACGCCACCAAAGGGGAAGACUCUAUGAAAAAUGAAUGGAGUUAAACUCUCAGGUAAAAGGACAGAGAAGGGUAG
rnacentral:ncRNA from 1 species